UGUAAGACACCAGGGAGGUACGCCCUCC
rnacentral:sRNA from 1 species